UAACAUCAUAUAAAUUUAUUCACUCUGCCUCUUCCAAGUAACACAAGCAUACUCUCACACACACACACAGGCUACAGCUGCACAACCCUCAAGCAGUAGUGGCACGGCGGGCUGAGAUAACAAUGGGGUCGACAGGGGAGUACCAGCCGCUGCUUCUUGGACUUGACUCACAUUCCCAUAUACCUGGCUUGUCGUCUGCUGCCAUCGAAGAGUUUCUGGAGCACCGGCCUGUGGCGGUCCGAUGGUGGCCUAGACUGGUGGCAUGGGAGUCAAGGCUGCUCUGGAUUUUAUCUGGUUCAUCUAUCAUUGUCUCCAUAUUUAAUUACAUGCUUAGCUUUGUCACCCUCGUGUUUUGUGGCCAUUUGAGUGCCUUGGAGCUGGCUGGAGCCUCUAUUGCUAAUGUGGGAAUUCAAGGUCUUGCUUAUGGGAUUAUGUUGGGAAUGGCUAGUGCUGUGCAAACUGUGUGUGGGCAAGCAUUUGGAGCCAGAAAAUUGCCAGAAAUGGGCGUCAUAUGCCAAAGAGCAAUCAUCUUGCACUUGGGAGCAGCAGUCCUCCUUACAUUUCUGUAUUGGUGGUCAGGUCCAAUACUUAGAGCCAUAGGCCAGGCAGAAGACAUAGCAUUGCAGGGCCAAGUGUUUGCAAGGGGCCUAAUUCCUCAGCUUUAUGCAUUUGCAAUAAACUGCCCCCAGCAGAGGUUCCUUCAAGCACAAAACAUUGUCAACCCUUUGGCUUAUAUGUCUUUUGGGGUUUUCCUCAUCCACAUUCUUCUCACUUGGUUGGUGGUUUAUGUUGUGGAUUAUGGCCUACUGGGGGCUGCUCUUACUCUCAGCCUCUCUUGGUGGCUUCUUGUCAUUACAUAUGGACUUUACAUUAUUCUAAGCCCCAAGUGCAAGGAAACUUGGACUGGCUUCUCUUGGAAUGCCUUCAAAGGAAUUUGGCCUUAUUUUAAGUUAACUCUUUCCUCUGCUAUCAUGCUCUGCUUGGAGAUAUGGUACAGCCAGGGGCUGGUGCUGAUAUCAGGGCUUCUCUCCAAUCCUACAGUUGCUCUAGACUCCAUUUCUAUUUGCAUGAACUACUUGAACUGGGACUUGCAAUUUAUGUUAGGCCUAAGUGCAGGAGCCAGUGUUCGAGUCAGUAAUGAGCUAGGUGCUGGUAAUGCAAAGGUGGCCAAAUUUUCAGUGUUUGUUGUGAACGGGACCAGCAUACUGAUUAGCAUAGUCUUCAGUGCAAUUGUAUUGAUUUUUAAAGUUGGAUUAAGCAAGCUUUUUACGAGUGAUUCCGUAGUUAUUGCGGCAGUAUCUGAUUUAACCCCAUUGCUGGCCAUCUCUGUUUUCUUGAAUGGCAUUCAACCUAUACUCUCAGGGGUGGCAAUUGGAAGUGGAUGGCAAGCUGUUGUGGCCUAUGUUAACCUGACUUGCUACUACGUUAUCGGUCUUCCGAUUGGAUGUGUUCUUGGCUUCAAAUCCAACAUGGGAGUAGCAGGUAUUUGGUGGGGGAUGAUUAUUGGAGUUUUUCUACAAACAGUAACUCUAAUUAUUCUCACCGCCAGAACAAAUUGGGAUGCUGAGGUUCAAAAAGCAGCUGACCGGUUGAAGAAAGCUGCAGAAAUACGAGAGUCGCUGACCAAUGUAUAAGGCCAUGGAGGUUUUCAAAACUUGAUUUCACCUGCUGUUCACCACAGUGAAUUGUCGAAACUGCCCUCCACUAAACUUUUUCUUCCGUUUCCUCUUUGCCCUUCCCCAUGGGAUCUCUCCUUUUCGCCCUUCGUCGGUUUUUCAUGUUCCAACACAGAACGCGCCACGUCCUCCUUCUCCUACUCUUCGCGUUCCCAAAUCCGAAUUCCGUACCGGCCUUUGCAGAUUCCGACGCACAGAAAACCCGCUUUCAACACUGGGUUUGAAAUCGGCGCUGACAACUGAGGACCGCGCAAUAAAGGUAUCCUCUUAAUAUUUAUGUAAAGAGCUGCUUAGCUUAGGUUAGGUAGCUGGCUUGCUAUAUUUUAUUUGGUGAUGAAGAAAAGAAGCAGCUAAUGGGAUUGCGAAGCAUGAAGUUAACUACUUCAGUCGGCCGGGUCGUCUAUCAUUGACCGGCGUCUAAAGCCCCGCUACCAAUCAAUAACUUGAAUAUUGGUAUUUUGCUGGCCUAACUUGUUAGAUUAUAUUUUUAACUUUGAAUUCAAACAGCUCCAUAGUUGACAUUAAUAGUGGAACCGCGCAAGAGAAGAGGACAAGUUUGCUGUGCAUUCAGGUAAGACACCCCCAAAAUCGUUCAUAUUAAUGCCUAGGUGUUUUAAAUUGGUGGCUUUAGUCAAAUCACAGAUAAAGCUCGAGUCAUUAAGUCCCCCACUUCCUAGAUUGUUGGAGGUUAGAGAAAAUCUCUCAAGCUUAUGCAAAUUUGCCAAAGAUGGGACUUUACCAUGUAGGCUGUUUCCUUGCAUUCCUAGAUGACCUAGACUUGAGGCAUUAGAUAUUGAUACUGGAAUAGUUCCACUAAAUUGGUUAGAAGCAAUAUCAAAAUACUGGAGACUUGGAGAAAAAA